CUUGCUUCUCUUGAGAGCGGCGGACGGGUGAGUAAUGCCUAGGAAUCUGCCUGGUAGUGGGGGAUAACGUCCGGAAACGGACGCUAAUACCGCAUACGUCCUACGGGAGAAAGCAGGGGACCUUCGGGCCUUGCGCUAUCAGAUGAGCCUAGGUCGGAUUAGCUAGUUGGUGGGGUAAUGGCUCACCAAGGCGACGAUCCGUAACUGGUCUGAGAGGAUGAUCAGUCACACUGGAACUGAGACACGGUCCAGACUCCUACGGGAGGCAGCAGUGGGGAAUAUUGGACAAUGGGCGAAAGCCUGAUCCAGCCAUGCCGCGUGUGUGAAGAAGGUCUUCGGAUUGUAAAGCACUUUAAGUUGGGAGGAAGGGCAGUAAAUUAAUACUUUGCUGUUUUGACGUUACCGACAGAAUAAGCACCGGCUAACUCUGUGCCAGCAGCCGCGGUAAUACAGAGGGUGCAAGCGUUAAUCGGAAUUACUGGGCGUAAAGCGCGCGUAGGUGGUUCGUUAAGUUGGAUGUGAAAUCCCCGGGCUCAACCUGGGAACUGCAUUCAAAACUGACGAGCUAGAGUAUGGUAGAGGGUGGUGGAAUUUUCCUGUGUAGCGGUGAAAUGCGUAGAUAUAGGAAGGGAACACCAGUGGGCGAAGGCGACCACCUGG
rnacentral:rRNA from 1 species